GGAAUUGACGGGGGCCCGCACAAGCAGCGGAGCGUGUGGUUUAAUUCGAUGCAACACGAAGAACCUCACCAAGGCUUGACAUACAAGAAGUAGUGAACCGAAGGGGAACGACCUGUUAAGUCAGGAGCUUGAACAGGUGCUGCAUGGUUGUCGUCAGCUCGUGCCGUGAGGUGUUGGGUUAAGUCCCGCAACGAGCGCAACCCUCGUUGCCAGUUGUUUUCUCUGGCGAGACUGCCCCGCAAGACGGGGAGGAAGGUGGGGAUGACGUCAAAUCAGCACGGCCCUUAUGCCUUGGGCUACACACACGCUACAAUGGGCGGUACAAUGGGUUACAAUGGGGUGACUCGGAGUUAAUCCUAAAAAUCGCCCUCAGUUCAGAUUGCAGGCUGAAACCCGCCUGCAUGAAGUCGGAGUUGCUAGUAACCGCGUAUCAGCAUGGCGCGGUGAAUACGUUCUCGGGCCUU
rnacentral:rRNA from 1 species